rnacentral:rRNA from 1 species
UUUUUUAUAAAAAUAUUUCAUUUAUUUGAUGUUUUAGUAUUUAUUAAAAAUUAAUUUUUAGAUUUAUAGUUUAUUAGUAUUGUGAAAGAAUUAUUUAAAUUUAUUAAAGAAUUUAAUUUAGUACCUUUUGUAUUAGGGUUAAUUUAAAUUAUUAAUUUAUUUUAAUUUCUCAAAAAAUAUAGAGUUAAUUUUAUUAUUAAGUUAUUGUAUUAUAAAUAUUUAUAAAAUAAUUUUAGUUUUGAAAUUUAAUUCGUUAUAUUAUAUUUAGUUAUUUAAGAUUUAAAUUUAAUUUAAAAUUUUAAAAGUUAUAUUAAUUUUGAUUAUUAUUUAUUUUAAAUUUAAAUUAUUUUAGGGAUAAGCUUGAAAUUUUUAUAAAAUAUUUUUUUUAAUUAAAUAAUUUAUAGGAAUAGAAAUUUUUAUUUUAAGUUUGUAAAAAUUUAUUAUUUUUUAUUAUUUUGAUUUAUUAAAAAUUUAUUUAUUUUUAAUAUUAAAUUUUAUAAAUUAAUAUUUUAUUUAUAGUAAUAAUGAUUAAAUUAGUAUAAUAUUAUAUUUAUAAAUUAUGAAUUCGGCAAUUAUUAUUUUCAUCUGUUUAACAAAAACAUUGUAUUAAGUUUAAUUUAAUAUAGGAUCUGCUCAAUGAUUUAAUUAAAUAGCUGCAGUAUUUUGACUGUGCAAAGGUAGCAUAGUAAUUAGUCUUUUAAUUGGGGACUUGUAUGAAAGAUUUGAUGAGAAAUAAACUUUAUUAUUUAUAAAGUUAAAAUUUUAUUUUUAAGUAAAAAAGCUUAAAUAUUUUAAAGGGACGAUAAGACCCUAUAAAACUUUAUAAUUAUUUUAUUUUAAAUGUUUUGGUUUAAUAAUUAUUUAAAUUUAAAUAAUUAUUUUAUUGGGGUGAUAAAAAAAUUUUAUAAACUUUUUUUAAAAUUUACAUUAUUUUAUGGAUUUUUGAAUUAAAAUUUUUAAUUAUAAGAAAAAGUUACUUUAGGGAUAACAGCGUAAUUAAUUUUUUAAGUUCAAAUUUAAAAAUUAGUUUGCGACCUCGAUGUUGAAUUAAGAUUAUUCUUGGGUGCAGAAUUUUAAGUAUUAGGUCUGUUCGACCUUUAAUUUCUUACAUGAUUUGAGUUCAAACC